rnacentral:rRNA from 1 species
UACGAAGGGGGCUAGCGUUGUUCGGAUUUACUGGGCGUAAAGCGCACGUAGGCGGAUUGUUAAGUCAGGGGUGAAAUCCUGGAGCUCAACUCCAGAACUGCCUUUGAUACUGGCAAUCUAGAGUCCGGAAGAGGUGAGUGGAACUCCUAGUGUAGAGGUGGAAUUCGUAGAUAUUGGGAAGAACACCGGUGGCGAAGGCGGCGACCUGGUCCAAGACUGACGCUGAGGCGCGAAAGCGUGGGGAGCAAACAGG